GAUGCAGGUGUUGCUUGUUUAUUAAAACCUGUAGCCCCCCACCCUCCCCACCCCUCAGUGAGCUGUCAGCUGUUUAAUCCUCUCAUGUCUGCAGAUCAGCUGAAAGUGAAAUAUUGUAAUAAAACAAGUGUGUAGUUUGGUAAAUACCCAGAUCUGUGUCUCUGGCUGCAGAGCUGUUGGAUGUUGGAUGCUGAGGGAGAAGGAUGCGUCGCAGCUCUGAGUGUUUUAUUUUUAGCAGAGAUGAAUUUGGAGAAAGAUUGGAGCCGUGUUUGAAUCCUGAUCCGCUUCUCCGUGUUUCACACACACUCUCUGAAACAGACUUGGACGCUUUUCCUGCAUUAAAUAGACUUGAUGGAAAUGACUCAUGGUGUGUAUCAGCGAUUGUUAUUCAGGGAAUCGGCCUCUGCUGAAGUUUGCACACACACAGUCAAACGUGCCUGACGAUGUCCACGGUGCUGAGCAGUCUUCAUCCAGGUCCUCUGCUGCACUUCAGACCCUCUGAUGCAGACGGAGACAGCUCUCUUCUUGAAUUUGAUCCUUUUACAUUUUCUUUAUUUUUUUGGAUCCAUGUGAAGACAGCGGUGCAAACAUCAGAUCAGACAGUGGAGGGGCCGCCCCCUCACUGUUAUCCUCAGCUCUCAUCAUGACAGGGACAUUUACGGCAUUAUAAACCCCAUAAUGUGUCCGACACAGCGCAGAGUAAAGACAUGAAAACAGAUUUUUAUUCCUUCAUGGAGGAGCUGAUUUAAUCUGUCUGAGAGUAAAACCAAUAAAGAUCCAAUCAUACAUCAAUAUCUGAUCAUUAUUAAGGGACACUGUUUUUUAAUUGGGUCUGUUCUCCUUUAGUCAUUUCCUCUGGGUUGUUUAGAGUUGCAGAUGCAGACCUUCGCUCGGGCUGAUCACAGUUAGAUUUCUGUCUGAGGUCUGAGGUCGCUCUUCAUAAUGAAGGAGUCAAACGCCAAUUGUUUUUUGAUGAACUCUGACCCCUCCAGGUGAGACUUUUGAAUGAACCAUCAGUAAUUCUGACCCCCCUCCCCAGAAUAAGCACAUGUGUCAGGAGGUUGAUUGAUGGUUGUAAUAAUAAUGGAGAUUUUCUAAAAGUGCUGAAAACUCAAACGUAGACGAACGAGGAGAAACGAGGUGUUGUGUGUGAGAUUAUCAGUGAGGUCAGCAGGGCUGGGCGAUAUGAGAAAAAGUUUAUCACAGUAUAUUUUUUUCAUAUCAGUCGAUAUCGAUAAAUAUCACGAUGUGAAAAAAUCACUUGUCAGUUUUAAAUGUCUCCUCUCGGGGUUUGUAACCUUUAGCGUUGCGUGUGCUCUGCGGCGUGGCGCUGCUUCAGGCGGUGAAAAAGAUUUGAGGUAUUCCCCGACUUUGUGAGAACAUGUACUCGACAUGAUUUACAGUCCACAUUACUCUGCUUCAUGUCCGACCUCCAAAAACCAAAAUACCUCCACACCACCGACGUUUUCCUAACGCCAGUGUUGGGUGUAGCUGCUGUCUGCUGCGACGCAGGAUUUUACUUGGUUCUGAUUCAGAUCAUGAUUGGUUCAGAGUGAAGCGGACCCAGAGAAACUCUCCUUUUCAUUGGCUAGGGGACGGCUGGUGAGAAAAUUAGUGGGUGGGGCUGAUGGUUUUUCAUCUCAUCAUCAGGACAUUAUAUCGACACUCAGCCGACCUACUUUAAUGUAAUCUAAUGAUAUAGAAACUGACUGUAGCGUUCUCUUACUCGUGCGCGUUCACCUGCAUCUCCACAGGUUAGGUUACAGCGAAGGAGCACAGAGAGAGACAACAGCAGAAGAAGAAUGAAGAGCAGACCCACAUUUACAACAAACCAGGCUGAACAUCAAACAACACAAACGUUUAAAUACACAACAGUUUUAUUACAGCUGAACAAAAACAGGGUUCACACUCUGUUAUAGAAAUCAUUUUCCAGGACUUUUCCAGGACGUUUCCAUCCUGCCUUAAAAGUUAUUGAUUUCUAACAUUAUGACAUGAACAUUGUCUGUUAGCCUUUUCUUAGUCUGGUUUAUUUUAGGUUUUUAUCUUUAUAUUCUCUACUUUUCUACAAACGGAUUUUGUUGACUGACUGUUUCAGGAGCUGAAAUUUUAAUUUUCCAUUUUUAUUGUUUCUUUUUGUCUCCAUUAAUUUACACGGGAAACAAAAAAGAGCCUUUCUCUUCAGACUUCCAGUUAGCCAUGCUUUGCGCCUCUACCCUGCUCUUGAAAAUGUCAGCGUAUAUAUUCUGCUCUUCUCAGUGGUCACUUGCUGAGCGGCGACGUCUGGUCUAUCUGGACCGAGCUCUUCCAGCUUUAGUUUGUCCUGCAGAGUUCUUCUCUCAAACGGGACCUACUUGAUGGACAGUGCAGCGUUCUCCGGUAAAUCACUCGGUAGGGGGUUUGCAGUCGCCAUUCCUACGUCUUCUGUCAUUAGCAGCCAAGUGCAGAGUGCAGUCAGAGUACUCCCAGUCAGACGCACAUUGUAGCUCUGAAUCUGUUUGUGGUCAAUCUGGUCAUGAACGUGUUUACGUCAUUUAAAUUAGGGACGUUUGGGCGCUCGUCUCUGGUGCCCCUAGUUAGAAUAAGCUAACUUUUUAAUGCAGAUCUGUGAUCUGAGCAUGUGUGAGACAACAGGCGUCUCGAUUCCACCGCAACACUGGGAAGAGAGAAAUACAUUUAAUGGAACGAUGAAUAUAAGAGCAGAUUUCCUUAUUUUGAGAAUAUUUUCAGGGAGACUCUCUUUUACACAGGCCACCACUGCAUUGGUAUAGUCGACCAAAACAUGGCAGAAUGCCGACUAUUGAAAAGGAUGUUGACCAUGUUUUAUAUUGAUAUUGAGGGACAUUAAUUUCUGAUAUAUAUCGUUAUCAUUUAAUCGCCCAGCCUGAACUCUUCAUGAUUUCCUUUAAUCAUCAUUUCCUCUGAAGCUGUUUCACAUCUUUCCUGUUAAAACCAACAGUGUGCUAACUGCGCUCCUCUUCACUCAUGAUGUUUGUCUGUAAAUCUUUUUUGGAGUAAAACAGAAAAACUCAGAGGUGUUCAGAUAUUUGGGGAUGUUGUUGAAAUCGGUCAGUUUUUAAAAGCUACAAUGAUCUCAGUCAGAUCUGCGGUUUUCUUGUUUCGUGUCUGAAGCGUUCAUAUUUCAUCAGCUGACUCUGGGAUUCUCACCUCCCUAAUACUCUGAGAGCUCCGGCUCUGUGGAGGUCCCAGAUGUUUUAUUAUGGAGAUAUUGGAGCUGCUGCUGCAGACAGGAUGAAGAACGCCCGGAGUCUUUCCUGUCUGCUUUUGGAGAAUCAGGAUCUUCUCAGUCAGGAGUUUAACAAACGCAGAGCUGAGAAUACAAAAGCAAAAGCUGCAGGGAGGUGUGCAGCAGGAGGAGGAGGAGGAGGAGGAGGAGGGAGGAAGAAGGAUGCACGAGUGUGACAUGUUUGGAAGGUGAGCUGCAGUUUGAGUCAUUCCUGGACGUUCAUCUGCUGCAGGUCUGAGAGGGAGAGCUGCAGCAUUGUGGUUCACCGUGGGGGGCCGAGGGAGAGAGAGGGAGGGGCAUUUAUGGCUCUAUUGUGGCUCAGAGGCUCAGAGUGACCUGAAGUAAGCAGGGGGUGGUGGCACAAACAGAGCCAGUGUGUGUGUGUGAGGAAACGGCGAGCGUGAUGGAGACGAGAUGGGAGUGAGAGAAAGGAGGACAUGAAGCGAAUCAGAGGGCAGAAGAGGAGAGAGGGUGAGACGGGAGCAGAGGGAUGAGGAGGAAGAGGAGAUGAUGAUGUCAGGGAUGAAGAUGACAGGAGGAGAACAGAGAGAUAGAGGGGAGGAGGAGGAGGAGGAGGUGGUCUGCGGUGGAUGCUGGUGUUUUUCUGUUAAGUGAAACGAUCGGUUUAUUCCUGACAUCUGUGCGGCGAGGGCGGCCACAUACUGCGCCCUGAGAGCCUCCUGUGAGGCCGCAGGAAGUGAGAGCGAGGGGGGGGGGUGGUUAGCUAAGACUGUCGAUAUUCAGGGUUAGAAACAAAAGGAGGAGGAGGAGAAACUAAAAAGAGAGGAGAGGGUGAGGAGGAGGAGGAGGCCCAUUAGAAAAGAUCGUCUGACAUGAUGGAGCUCAGUCACCUCAGAUCAAAACACUCAUUUUUUAACGUCAUUGAUAUUCUCUGAGUUUAUCCACACCUGUCCACCUGUCCACCUGUCCACCUGUCGGCUGUGUCAUUAACCGAGGGGGUGGGGUGGUCCUGACUUCAGAAACGCUCUAAAUGGAAAUAUGAGUCACUGUGAACGACAGCGGCAGGAAAGACUGUUGACUCAUGUACACUCAUCCUCAGACUCUGCUGUAGAUUCACACUGAACGUGAGCGUGUGUGUGUGUGUGUGUGUGUGUGUGUGUGUGUGUGUGUGUGUGUGUGUGAGAGGGACCAUAGGGGUGCGUCUGAAUCAGUCUGUAUGAAAACAGCUGUGAAUGUGGACGAUGAGUGAAAAAGAAAUAAACCACAGAGAGAGAGGCUCAGGUGAGUCACACCUGUGAGACUGAACGACAUUUUUAAUAAUAACAACAAUAAUAAUAAUAAUAAUAAUAAUAAAAAUAAUAAUAUUAAUAAUAAUGAUAAGAAUGAUAAUAAUAAUAAGAUAUGUUUGUGUGACAUAUGCAGAUGGCAAAAACAGUGGAAUAACUCUUUAACCGUGCGUCUGAGAAAAAUGUCCAAA